AGAUAAAAAAGCUCAAGCAAGUGCUGGUGAUGAGGAAACUGAUGGACCUACCCCACCACAAGACCCACCAGCCUGGCUAUAUAAUGAUGAAAUCAUGAGACGUGUCCCUAAAACUCUACAUUUUCAUGAAGAUCUUGUUAAAGAUAUUGAAAUUCUACUUAUGCCAGCCACU